CUCUCUCUCUCUCUCUCUCUUGAAGCAUAUAUAGAUGUAGGUGUAUUUUUGUAAGACGGUACUUAUGAGUAAGUUGACAAAAUUAUGCACAUGCAAACAAGUGUAUUUAUAGUCUAAUAAUGCUAUUUAGAAAAAGAAACGUAAACACCAUUAGACAUCUUGGUCAUGUACUACACUUAGGAGAAAUAAUGGAUUUGGCUGUAAAAGAAUGAAUGUAAUACUUAAAAUAUGUGACCAUCAAUGAAUAAAAGACUUGCAUAAAAUAAUUAGUUCUAAACUUCUAUCAGUGGUAGAAUGCUUCUAUAUAUUAAAUAAAAUUGAUUGCCAUGUUGUCUAACCUCUUUAUCUUUUUGUGCCUUGCCACCUUCAAUAAUUAUGACUAGCAUGUGUAUGUGUGUAUAAUUUGUUAACAUAUUAUGUUACUUUUUAUCAUUGGCAGUAUACGUAUUAUUUGUAUUUGUAAACCCAAUACUCAUUAUGUUAUAAUAUUUCCUGUUUAACCCUAUUUGAACCUUUGGCCUUUGACCCUUUCCCUUCUCUGGUCCAAUGGCCAAUUUCGGGUUUGAAAACAUUUGUUUAACCCUGAAUCUAGUGUGGAAAAUGUUUCUCCAAGGAGGUAUUUUUCUUUUUCCUCAUUGGAGGUUCAUCUUUUUAUGUCAAGAUGAUUAUCAUUGCUAAAGGAUGUAUUGUGUUCUUUUUUUGUCUAGAAAUUUGUUUCCAUUGCAAUGUGCUAUUGUGAUAUCCUGUUUGUUAGUUACUAUUAUUAAUAUCCCAUAUUGGUUUGGGAUAGGGGUAAUAUGCCCCUUAUAAAGCUUUAGGUACUCCUUCCUUGAGCUACCUUUUGGACGUCAGUUAGGCCCACUCAUUUCCUUAAGAUGGUAUCAAAGCCUCUCAACCAAUGUUGGGCCUUUUAUAAGUGUUUCACAUUCACACUCCAAGUGUUUGGUACUGGGUGUAAAUGAGGUGUGUUAAUUU
rnacentral:misc_RNA from 1 species